UAGUAAAGAAGUUCGGUUAAAUUCGCAACGUCCUGUUGCAACACCGAACGACCACUGG
rnacentral:sRNA from 1 species